UACGUAGGCAGCAAGCGUUGUUCGGAGUUACUGGGCGUAAAGAGUGUGUAGGCGGUUCUCUAAGUUCGGUGUGAAAUCUCCCGGCUCAACUGGGGGGGUGCGCCGGAAACUGGAGGGCUUGAGUAUGGGAGAGGAAAGCGGAAUUCCUGGUGUAGCGGUGAAAUGCGUAGAUAUCAGGAGGAACACCUGUGGUGUAGACAGCUUACUGGACCACUUCUGACGCUGAGACACGAAAGCGUGGGUAGCAAACAGG
rnacentral:rRNA from 1 species